rnacentral:misc_RNA from 1 species
AUCCCAUUUUACAUUUCAUUCAUAAACAAGCAAUUGAUGCACAAAUGGGAGGAGCCACACACAAAAAGCAGCAGUAAAAUCACCAUUAACCAUCAGGCAUGCAUAUACAGGUACAAUAAAUGAUCAUUAAAAUUCUGUCACAACCUUGAGUAAGAAUUACUACUGCUCAUCAUCCGGCUGCUCCUCCCCAAGACCCCGUUGGGCAAUUCUGUAAUAAAGUAUACCCAUAGUUGCCAUGCAGGCCAUGAUUGCUAUAAAAAGAAGGAUUUUUCUUGGAUCCAUUCUUGAUGGUCUGUGAUGCCUCACACGAGCUUCCGAGACAUCAUCUGUGUUUGAUGCAUCCUUAUGUGGAGGUGCAGUUACCGGUAAAGUUGGUAAUGCACUUGACCAGAACGGAAGCAAUGCUCUAAGGAACAUAUGGCGGAAUGGACCCCUUCGACUGUACUUUUUACGA